UGGGCAACCUGCCCCUGGCUCUGGGAUAACUCCGGGAAACCGGAGCUAAUACCGGAUACGAGACCGAUUGGCAUCUUUACGGUCUGGAAAGUUUUUCGGCCAGGGAUGGGCUCGCGGCCUAUCAGCUUGUUGGUGAGGUAAUGGCUCACCAAGGCGACGACGGGUAGCCGGCCUGAGAGGAUGGCCAGCCACAUUGGGACUGAGACACGGCCCAGACUCCUACGGGAGGCA
rnacentral:rRNA from 1 species